rnacentral:rRNA from 1 species
UACGUAGGUCGCAAGCGUUGUCCGGAUUUACUGGGCGUAAAGAGCGCGCAGGCGGCUGGCCAAGUCUGAUGUGAAAUCUCCCGGCUUAACCGGGAAACUGCAUCGGAAACUGGUCGGCUUGAAGGUGGGAGAGGGUAGCGGAAUUCCCGGUGUAGUGGUGAAAUGCGUAGAUAUCGGGAGGAACACCAGUGGCGAAGGCGGCUACCUGGCCCAUUCUUGACGCUGAGGCGCGAAAGCUAGGGGAGCGAACGGG